GGAAGAUUUCAUUUUUUCUCUCUCUCUCUCUUUUUUUGGAAAAGAACUAUUAAUUCUAGUCCUAGCACACAACUUUCUUCUCUCUCAACUUCAGUAGUCUUUUCUUUGAUCCUUUUUUUUUUUUUUUGGAGGGGGAAGUGGAAUAUUGUGGGAUUCGAACCCCAUUACUAGAUGAAGAUGUGAACAACUCUCCCACUGAGCUACAUUC
rnacentral:lncRNA from 1 species